CGAGAACCAGACUCCAUCUCCGACCUCAACUGCAGGCAAGCUCCGUCCGGGCUCUUACGGGAGCCGGACUCCUCCUCCAACUUCGGCUGUAAGCAAACUUCGUCCAGACUCCUACGGGAGCCGAGCUUCAUCCUCGACUUCGAAUGCUGGUAAGCUCCGCCUGGACUCCCACGGGAGACAAAUUUUGCCUGGCUUCAAUUACAGGUAGACCCCGUUCGGACUCCCACGGGAGCCAGACCUCGCCCCGACUUCACCUAUGGGAGUCAAACUCCCGCAGCCCCACCAAGAGCGGAGGAAAAAAUCUCACUCAAAAAAAAAAAGGAGAGAGAAGUUAAAAGGAAAAGCGAUGAACUACGCCGGCGAUGAAUGGAAAACAAAUAGCGUCUAGGAUGCAGAGAACCCCGGCUUUCACGGAAGCUUUCAACGCAAACCUAAGAUGAGAUGACUUCCUCAAGGUGACGAAAGCUCAGACCUCCGUGCUCGAGCCCUGAUGGGGACACCAAACCCGAGCGGCCCCAGACGAACCUGCGGCCACGGGCGAAAAAGAUGGGUCGAUACGUUGACAAUCGGGUACCUCCGAACAACACAAAGGUCGAAAAGAAGCUCG
rnacentral:lncRNA from 1 species